rnacentral:rRNA from 1 species
AAUAGAUACCCGGGUAGUCCACCCCGUAAACGUUGGGAACUAGUUGUGGGGUCCAUUCCACGGAUUCCGUGACGCAGCUAACGCAUUAAGUUCCCGCCUGGGGAGUACGGCCGCAAGGCUAAAACUCAAAGGAAUUGAACGGGGACCGCACAAGCGGCGGAGCAUGCGGAUUAAUUCGAUGCAACGCGAAGAACCUUACCAAGGCUUGACAUAUAGAGGAAACGUCUGGAAACAGUCGCCCCGCAAGGUCUCUAUACAGGUGGUGCAUGGUUGUCGUCAGCUCGUGUCGUGAGAUGUUGGGUUAAGUCCCGCAACGAGCGGCAACCCUCGUUCUAUGUUGCCAGCACGUAAUGGUGGGAACUCAUGGGAUACUGCCGGGGUCAACUCGGAGGAAGGUGGGGAUGACGUCAAAUCAGUCAUGCCCCUUAUGUCUUGGGCUUCACGCAUGCUACAAUGGCCGGUACAAAGGGCUGCAAUACCGUGAGGUGGAGCGAAUCCCGAAAAAGCCGGUCCCAGUUCGGAUUGAGGUCUGCAACUCGACCUCA